rnacentral:ncRNA from 1 species
UGUCUCCUCCAACUCUCCUUGAAUUGGAUUUCAACCCGCUACCGCAAGGCUAGCGGGUUUUUUUUC